GCCUGCAGGAGACGCGAGGCGGAGGCGGCGUGGCGAAGCGGGGCAGCCUCGGAAAGGGCAGAGCCCUGCCAGGUGCUGCAAGCUGUCCCACUGCUGCUUUCACCCUUCCUUGCUUCACAGUCAUCAUCAUCAGAAUCCAACAGAGAAACACCUACAACACCAGUACUAAAGCCGAGCUCAAACACUAAGGACUGUGCCCCUCGUGAAAGAGGAGACCAAGAACAGCACUGCUUCUGAUGGGAAGAUCAAAGCCAAAGGAGAAUGAGUUAUUAACCCACUAAACAAAAAUCUGGGGAUUCUGAGCGCUACAAAACAAAGGUUAUAGGAGCAAAUGGAAGUUUAUGAAGUUCAUGUGUCCACGUAUAAACAAGAGUAUCUCUAUGUCUGCUAGAAAAGCUGUUCAGAAAACUGAUUUUCAUGUAAUCAUAAAAAAUAAUAAAUUUCUAGUUUUCAGUCUA